rnacentral:rRNA from 1 species
UACGUAGGGUGCAAGCGUUGUCCGGAAUUAUUGGGCGUAAAGAGCUCGUAGGCGGUUUGUCGCGUCUGCUGUGAAAACUCGGGGCUUAACUCCGGGCCUGCAGUGGGUACGGGCAGACUAGAGUGCGGUAGGGGGACCUGGAAUUCCUGGUGUAGCGGUGGAAUGCGCAGAUAUCAGGAGGAACACCGGUGGCGAAGGCGGGGUCCUGGGCCAGUACUGACGCUGAGGAGCGAAAGCGUGGGGAGCAAACAGG